rnacentral:rRNA from 1 species
AACGAACGCUGGCGGCAUGCCUAACACAUGCAAGUCGAACGAGACCUUCGGGUCUAGUGGCGCAAGGGUGCGUAACGCGUGGGAACCUGCCCUUAGGUUCGGAAUAACUCCCCGAAAGGGGUGCUAAUACCGGAUAAUGUCUUCGGACCAAAGAUUUAUCGCCGUUGGAUGGGCCCGCGUUGGAUUAGCUAGUUGGUAGGGUAAAAGCCUACCAAGGCGACGAUCCAUAGCUGGUCUGAGAGGCUGAUCAGCCACACUGGGACUGAGACACGGCCCAGACUCCUACGGGAGGCAGCAGUGGGAAAUAUUGGACAAUGGGCGAAAGCCUGAUCCACCAAUGCCGCGUGAGUGAUGAAGGCCUUAGGGUUGUAAAGCUCUUUUACCCGGGAUGAUAAUGACAGUACCGGGAGAAUAAGCUCCGGCUAACUCCGUG